UCAGAUGAUGCAAUGUGCACUGGGCUCUGAGGCAGUUCUUAAACUGCCGAUAUUGAUGGACAAUCGCAGCCUAGAAAGCUCUGUCUGAUGA